AACGAACGCUGGCGGCAGGCUUAACACAUGCAAGUCGAGCGCCCCGCAAGGGGAGCGGCAGACGGGUGAGUAACGCGUGGGAAUCUACCCAUCUCUACGGAAUAACGCAUGGAAACGUGUGCUAAUACCGUAUACGUCCUUCGGGAGAAAGAUUUAUCGGAGAUGGAUGAGCCCGCGUUGGAUUAGCUAGUUGGUGGGGUAAAGGCCUACCAAGGCGACGAUCCAUAGCUGGUCUGAGAGGAUGAUCAGCCACACUGGGACGGAGACACGGCCCAGACUCCUAGUGGAGGAAGCAGUGGGGAAUAUUGGACAAUGGCCGCAAGCCUGAUCCAGCCAUGUCGCGUGAGUGAUGAAGGCCCUAGGGUGGUAAAGCUCUUUCACCGGUGAAGAUAAUGACGGUAACCAGAGAAGAAGCCCCGGCUAACUGCGUGCCAGAAGCUGCCGUAACAC
rnacentral:rRNA from 1 species